ACGGGUGAGUAACACGUAUGCAAUCCACCUGUAACAGGGGGAGUAACCCGGAGAAAUCCGGACUAAUACCUCAUAAUAUGGGCGCUCCGCAUGGAGAGCCCAUUAAAGAGAGCAAUUUUGGUUUACAGACGAGCAUGCGCUCCAUUAGCCAGUUGGCGGGGUAACGGCCCACCAAAGCGACGAUGGAUAGGGGUUCUGAGAGGAAGGUCCCCCACAUUGGAACUGAGACACGGUCCAA
rnacentral:rRNA from 1 species